rnacentral:rRNA from 1 species
UACGUAGGUGACGAGCGUUGUCCGGAUUUACUGGGCGUAAAGAGCGCGCAGGCGGUCGUUCAAGUCGAGUGUGAAAGCCCCCGGCUCAACUGGGGAGGGUCACUCGAUACUGAUCGACUCGAAGGCAGGAGAGGGAAGUGGAAUUCCCGGUGUAGUGGUGAAAUGCGUAGAGAUCGGGAGGAACACCCGUGGCGAAGGCGGCUCACUGGGCUGACCUUGACGCUGAGGCGCGAAGGCGUGGGGAGCGAACGGG